rnacentral:lncRNA from 1 species
UGGAGGGGAAGAGCGCAGCAGUGUUCUCUCUUCUGGAGAACACCUGCCUAGGUAUGUUCCUGGUCUCCUCCUCCUCUCCUGCCCCCUGUACAUCCCUGGGUCCCCUCCUGACCCUGGUUCAGUCACACUGGGUUCCUGCCUGGCCCCUGGUGGUGGUGCAGAAAGUGGCAAGAAUACACUGGUGAAGCAGAUGAAAAUCAUCCACAGCAAGGGCUUCAGCCUGAGGAACUAGCCAACUUUAAGGUGCAUGCCUGCUCCGUGCUGUCCUGCAUCCACUGUUUGGAUGAGACCCAGAUGGUGCUUCCCUGGGUGUCAGAUGCUCUGUGCUGCCUCUGGGCUGAUGCUGGGGUGCAAGCAGCAACCAGGAGAGGCUACGGAUAUGGGCUGAAUGACACUGUACUCUACUACAUCUGGGUGCCUCUGCAGAUCCAUCAGCUGCUGACUUGUGCCUGCUCUUGCUUCAAGCUGCCAAAAGGGCAAGUUGUGUCUCCUGAGCCACUCUGGGCCCUCCUAGAGCUCAGC